GUGGGGAAUAUUGCACAAUGGGGGAAACCCUGAUGCAGCGACGCCGCGUGAGUGAAGAAGUACCUCGGUAUGUAAAGCUCUAUCAGCAGGGAAGAAAAUGACGGUACCUGACUAAGAAGCCCCGGCUAACUACGUGCCAGCAGCCGCGGUAAUACGUAGGGGGCAAGCGUUAUCCGGAUUUACUGGGUGUAAAGGGAGCGUAGACGGCCAGACAAGUCUGAAGUGAAAGCCCGGGGCUCAACCCCGGAAUGGCUUUGGAAACUGUGAGGCUGGAGUACCGGAGAGGUAAGCGGAAUUCCUAGUGUAGCGGUGAAAUGCGUAGAUAUUAGGAGGAACACCAGUGGCGAAGGCGGCUUACUGGACGGUAACUGACGUUGAGGCUCGAAAGCGUGGGGAGCAAACAGG
rnacentral:rRNA from 1 species